AGAAACAACCAUUGUACCUUGAGACGCAACAAUUCCGUCUGAUCUCUGAUGGUAAGCACGGUUUGGCCCGGUUAGCACUGUGAUGGGAGACCACUGGGAAUACCGAGCGCUGUA
rnacentral:rRNA from 1 species